rnacentral:rRNA from 1 species
GACAGAGGCCUCAAGCGUUAGGCGGAAUCACUGGGCUUAAAGCGUGUGUAGGCGGAUCGUUAAGUGUCUUGUGAAAUCCCACGGCUCACCCGUGGAACUGCUGGGCAUACUGGCGAUCUUGGGCCAACUAGGGGCAGCCGGAACAAGCGGUGGAGCGGUGAAAUGCGUAGAUAUCGUCUGGAACGCCGAAGGUGAAAACAGCUCGCUGGGGCUGUGCUGACGCUGAGACACGAAAGCCAGGGGAGCGAACGGG